GUACACCAGGACUGAGAGGCUUUGCCCUCAAUCCUACCCAAUUCCAGAAGAGCGCUUGCUGCGUCCUCCUGAGGCUACAGAGUGAACAAAUGGCGUUGUCUGCCUUCAACCUGCGAGCAUGUGGACGGGGCACAGGAAACUGGCUUCCCGGAUGCAUAAGCAUCAUAAAACACUUUGCACAGGCCUCCUUUCGCUGGGACCAUCCACGAAGUGUCGGGAACACCAGGCAUCCCUCUGCAUCCUUGCUGUCCAUCUGUGUCUCUCCGUGCCCAGGGCGGCAGCUUAAGAAUGAUAGAGAAAGGACAAGAAGAGACAGGAAAAGAAAAUACUAGAUGCAGAGCAAAUCUUCAGGGUGAGUAUUGUCUUGUGACACUUUUGUUUCAGGUACUUGAUACACACAUUUGUGUACUGGACUGCAGGUAAAGAUAUAUUUGCUACUGUGAGUUGUGCUGAAAAAAAUUUAAAAGACCUGUCUUAAGCAAAGACAAAUCUGAUGUCAUCACUUGGGCAGCUUUGAGUCCAAAAUCCAGCCAAGGAAGUGAGUGCUGAGAGAGUCAUCAGGCGAGUUCAGGAAUGCCUUCUUCAUUCGAGUCACAGGAUGGAGUCAGGGCACCAACAUGGUGCCCUCAGACAGGUCUAACCCCAGCUCUUCACUUAGUACCUUUCAGCCUCUCCAAGCCCCGCUUCCUAACCCUCAGCAAGUGGACUGGGUACCAAAAGGGCCAGGCUUUGUUCAGUGCUAACCUCCAGGGCUCUUUACCUCCUUGACUGUUUUAAGGCAGCCUUUGGCUUCCUCAGCAUAGGGAGGGGCUGAGGCCAGUGCC
rnacentral:lncRNA from 1 species